rnacentral:rRNA from 1 species
UACGGAGGGGGCUAGCGCUGUUCGGAAUUACUGGGCGUAAAGAGCUCGUAGGCGGUUUGUCGCGUCUGCUGUGAAAACUCGGGGCUUAACCCCGGGCCUGCAGUGGGUACGGGCAGACUAGAGUGCGGUAGGGGAGACUGGAAUUCCUGGUGUAGCGGUGAAAUGCGCAGAUAUCAGGAGGAACACCGGUGGCGAAGGCGGGUCUCUGGGCCGUAACUGACGCUGAGGAGCGAAAGCGUGGGGAGCGAACAGG